AGUUUGUUGGUGGGGUAAUGGCCUACCAAGACGAUGAUGUGUAGCUGGACUGAGAGGUCGAACAGCCACAUUGGGACUGAGACACGGCCCAAACUCCUACGGGAGGCAGCAGUAGGGAAUUUUCGGCAAUGGAGGAAACUCUGACCGAGCAACGCCGCGUGAACGAUGAAGUAUUUCGGUAUGUAAAGUUCUUUUAUUGAAGAAGAAAAAAUAGUGGAAAAACUAUCUUGACGUUAUUCAAUGAAUAAGCCCCGGCUAACUAUGUGCCAGCAGCCGCGGUAAGACAUAGGGGGCGAGCGUUAUCCGGAAUUAUUGGGCGUAAAGGGUGCGUAGGCGGUUAGGAAAGUCUAUAAUUUAAUUUCAGUGCUUAACGCUGUCUUGUUAUAGAAACUACCUUGACUAGAGUUAGAUAGAGGCAAGCGGAAUUCCAUGUGUAGCGGUAAAAUGUGUAAAUAUAUGGAGGAACACCAGAAGCGUAGGCGGCUUGCUGGGUCUUGACUGACGCUGAGGCACGAAAGCGUGGGUAGCAAACAGGAUUAGAUACCCUGGUAGUCCACGCCGUAAACGAUGAGUACUAAGUGUCGGGAUAAAACUCGGUACUGAAGUUAACACAUUAAGUACUCCGCCUGAGUAGUACGUACGCAAGUAUGAAACUUAAAGGAAUUGACGGGACUCCGCACAAGCGGUGGAUCAUGUUGUUUAAUUCGAAGAUACACGAAAAAUCUUACCAGGUCUUGACAUGCUCUGCAAAGCUAUAGAAAUAUAGUGGAGGUUAUCAGGGACACAGGUGGUGCAUGGUUGUCGUCAGUUCGUGUCGUGAGAUGUUAGGUUAAGUCCUAAAACGAGCGCAACCCUUGUCGUUAGUUACCAGCACGUAAUGGUGGGCACUUUAACGAGACUGCCAAUUAAACAUUGGAGGAAGGUGAGGAUUACGUCAAAUCAUCAUGCCCCUUAUGAUCUGGGCUACAAACGUGAUACAAUGGCUGUUACAAAGAGUAGCUGAAGCGCGAGUUUUUAGCCAAUCUCAAAAAAGCAGUCUCAGUUCGGAUUGAAGUCUGUAACUCGACUUCAUGAAGUUG
rnacentral:rRNA from 1 species